rnacentral:rRNA from 1 species
UACGUAGGGUGCGAGCGUUGUCCGGAAUUACUGGGCGUAAAGCGUGCGCAGGCGGCUUUGCAAGACAGAUGUGAAAUCCCCGGGCUUAACCUGGGAACUGCAUUUGUGACUGCAUGGCUGGAGUGCGGCAGAGGGGGAUGGAAUUCCGCGUGUAGCAGUGAAAUGCGUAGAUAUGCGGAGGAACACCGAUGGCGAAGGCAAUCCCCUGGGCCUGCACUGACGCUCCAUGCACGAAAGCGUGGGGAGCAAACAGGA